rnacentral:sRNA from 1 species
UGUUUGCACUUAGCGGGAAGGGUAAGAACCUUCGACUAAGGUUCGACUCGAGCGCCAGCGAGAGAACGUUGCCGCAGGCAACGGCCCGAAGGGCGAGGCGCGAUAGCGACGAGUUAUCCUUCCCCCACCACCA